rnacentral:lncRNA from 1 species
GUUCCUGCUCCCGCUGCUACAAUCGGCCACUGCAACUUAAAAUCCUUCUCUUCACCAUGUAUCCCAUUUAUCUCUCUACCGACAAUCUCAGCAGCUUUUUCAUUCAGUGACUUGAUCAUCUUCCCAGACUCCCCAACUUCCUCAAGCAAUUGAACAAUUUGUGAUUCAAAACCCUUUGCUUUCUCCUCAGAUUCUCUAAGUGCCUUCUCAUAACUCAGUUUCUCAUUCAACCAAUCCCCAGCCUCAUCUUUCUUCUCAGCACCAACCUUUUCCAAUUCCUCAACCUUGUUUCUAAAACCAUCAAUUUCCCUAUCCUUCUCACCAAUUGUAUCCCUCAGUUCCUCCUCAACCCUAAUCCUCUUAUUCCUCUCCUCAAUUUCCUUCAUCUCAAGUACACCAAUUCUUUUCUCCAAAUCCUUCACCCUCGCCUCACUCUCCGCUUUCACCUUCUUCAACCCUUCCACUUCCUUCACCAACUCCUCGACCCUACCCUCCUUGUCCUUCAAAACCUCCUUCAAACCCUCAGCCUCCUUCUUCAUCUCCUCCCCAGCACUCAUAUCUGUGAUCAUAUCAUGCUGCAUCCUCGCAAUCUGCGUCUCAAGAUCCGCCGCCCUAGCCGCGAUAACCUCAGCCGCCUUCGCCGAAUCCUGAGACUUCUCAACCACAUCACGCAUCUCUUCAAUCUUCUCCCUCAUC